GGCAGAGAGAGAGACAGAUUAGAGAGACAGACAGGUUAGUCCUGGAGGGGGCAGAGAGAGAGACAGAUUAGAGAGACAGACAGGUUAGUCCUGGAGGGGACAGAGAGAGAGACAGAUUAGAGAGACAGACAGGUUAGUCCUGGAGGGGGCAGAGAGAGAGACAGAUUAGAGAGACAGACAGGUUAGUCCUGGAGGGGGCAGAGAGAGAGACAGAUUAGAGAGACAGACAGGUUAGUCCUGGAUGGGGCAGAGAGAGAGACAGGUUAGUCCUGGAGGGGGCAGAGAGAGAGACAGAUUAGAGAGACAGACAGGUUAGUCCUGGAUGGGGCAGAGAGAGAGACAGGUUAGUCCUGGAGGGGGCAGAGAGAGAGACAGAUUAGAGAGACAGACAGGUUAGUCCUGGAGGGGGCAGAGAGAGAGACAGAUUAGAGAGAGAGACAGAUUAGUCCUGGAGGGGGGGCAGAGAGAGAGACAGAUUAGAGAGAGAGACAGAUUAGUCCUGGAGGGGGCAGAGAGAGAGACAGGUUAGUCCAGGAGGGGGCAGAGAGAGAGACCGAUUAGAGAGAGACACAGACAGGUUAGUCCUGGAGGGGGCAGAGAGAGAGACAGAUUAGAGAGACAGACAGGUUAGUCAUGGAGGAGGCAAAGAAAGAGACAGAUUAGAGAGACAGACAGGUUAGUCCUGGAGGGGGGGCAGAGAGAGAGACAGAUUAGAGAGACAGACAGGGCAGAGAGAGAGACAGAUUAGAGAGACAGACAGGUUAGUCCUGGAGGGGGGACAGAGAGAGAGAGACAGGUUAGAGAGACAGACAGGGC